GGCUGCCCUGGGAGUAAGACAGGGACUGCGUCCUGAACUUCCCCAGGAUGCACAUCCAAAGCUAUUAGACUUGAUGCAGAGAUGCUGGGAAACAACUCCUGCGAAUCGACCAUCCUUCUGUGAGAUAACAGUUGAACUUGAAAACCUUCUCCAAAACGUUCAGGUAAAAAAUCUUUCAAUAACCACCUCCACUUUCUGUCCCACAAAAUUUGAAAUAAGCUAGCUAUGCUUCAUGUACAUCUGACCAAGCAUUCACUUGUUAGGAAACUAAGGAUGCAGUGAAUGGCAGCUGAACCAUUGCUGCGUGCAAUAUGGUUACGAUACUAACAAUUACAUUUUGAUGUCUUCCUUUUGUCAUGGUUCCUCCAGAACAGUUAAUAGAGUGUUUAUGUACAGCCAAGGGAAAAAAAAAUUAUAUAGUCUAUCCAUUACAACACUAAAGAAACAAAGAGCGCCAUGAUUAGUGUUUUUUCGCAACAAUAGCAGUUUCUCAUACAGGCGUUCCCAUGCACAGUUGUAAAGUUUUUUAUUAGGGCUAUUUGGUAAGAGAUGAGUAACAAAGCUGAAAUAGUGCUUUGGGCUAAUAGUUGGAUGGUCCAAGUGUUUGUUUUGUAAUAUAGGAUUGGAAAAAAAAAUAUAAUUAAGUAAUCAGUACUUUUGUGUUUUUUUAAAUCAAUGAUAAAAAAAGUUCCAUGACGAA
rnacentral:misc_RNA from 1 species